rnacentral:rRNA from 1 species
UACGUAGGGUGCAAGCGUUGUCCGGAAUUAUUGGCGUAAAGAGCUCGUAGGCGGUUUGUCGCGUCUGCUGUGAAAACUCGGGGCUUAACUCCGGGCCUGCAGUGGGUACGGGCAGACUAGAGUGCGGUAGGGGGAGAGCUGGAAUUCCUGGUGUAGCGGUGAAAUGCGCAGAUAUCAGGAGGAACACCGGUGGCGAAGGCGGGUCUCUGGGCCGUAACUGACGCUGAGGAGCGAAAGCGUGGGGAGCGAACAGG